UACAGAGGGGGCAAGCGUUGUUCGGAAUUACUGGGCGUAAAGGGUCUGUAGGUGGCUUGCUAAGUCAGACGUGAAAUCCCUCAGCUUAACUGGGGAACUGCGUCUGAGACUGGCGAGCUUGAGGGCAGGAGAGGAACGCGGAAUUCCAGGUGUAGCGGUGAAAUGCGUAGAUAUCUGGAGGAACACCGGUGGCGAAGGCGGCAUCCUGGACCGACACUGACGCUGAGGAGCGAAAGCCAGGGGAGCAAACGGG
rnacentral:rRNA from 1 species